rnacentral:piRNA from 1 species
GCAGCUAUGCCAACGGUACCGGGAGCAG